rnacentral:rRNA from 1 species
GUGGGGAAUAUUGGACAAUGGGCGAAAGCCUGAUCCAGCCAUGCCGCGUGUGUGAAGAAGGUCUUCGGAUUGUAAAGCACUUUAAGUUGGGAGGAAGGGCAGUAAGUUAAUACCUUGCUGUUUUGACGUUACCAACAGAAUAAGCACCGGCUAACUUCGUGCCAGCAGCCGCGGUAAUACGAAGGGUGCAAGCGUUAAUCGGAAUUACUGGGCGUAAAGCGCGCGUAGGUGGUUCAGCAAGUUGAAGGUGAAAUCCCCGGGCUCAACCUGGGAACUGCCUCCAAAACUACUUAGCUAGAGUACGGUAGAGGGUAGUGGAAUUUCCUGUGUAGCGGUGAAAUGCGUAGAUAUAGGAAGGAACACCAGUGGCGAAGGCGACUACCUGGACUGAUACUGACACUGAGGUGCGAAAGCGUGGGGAGCAAACAGGAUUAGAUACCCCUGUAGUCC